rnacentral:rRNA from 1 species
GACGAACGCUGGCGGCGAGCUUAACACAUGCAAGUCGAACGGAAAGGCCCUGCUUUUGUGGGGUGCUCGAGUGGCGAACGGGUGAGUAACACGUGAGUAACCUGCCCUUGACUUUGGGAUAACUUCAGGAAACUGGGGCUAAUACCGGAUAGGAGCUCCUGCUGCAUGGUGGGGGUUGGAAAGUUUCGGCGGUUGGGGAUGGACUCGCGGCUUAUCAGCUUGUUGGUGGGGUAGUGGCUUACCAAGGCUUUGACGGGUAGCCGGCCUGAGAGGGUGACCGGCCACAUUGGGACUGAGAUACGGCCCAGACUCGUACGGGAGGCAGCAGUGGGGAAUAUUGCACAAUGGGCGGAAGCCUGAUGCAGCAACGCCGCGUGCGGGAUGACGGCCUUCGGGUUGUAAACCGCUUUCGCCUGUGACGAAGCGUGAGUGACGGUAAUGGGUAAAGAAGCACCGGCGAACUACGU